rnacentral:ncRNA from 1 species
GAAGCCUGGGGCGCAGGCCCAGGUGGAGCCGCCACAGGUGCAGAUCUUGGUGGUAGUAGCAACUAUUCAAACGAGAGCUUUGAAGAACGGAGCUGGAGCAUUAACUCUUC